UGGCGUCUGUUCCUGUCCUCUUGGAAUGGCAGGUCACUACUUGUUCCCCCCUGUUUCUGACGAUUCCCCUGUGGUGCCGUAGAUUAUGCAGUGAAUUUUGGUUACAAAUGAGUACACGUCUCUUGGCCAAUUGAGUCUACCUCGCUAGUAAAUUUCAAUACCACCUCAGCACUAUUUGAAUCUACCCAAUCAUAGCAGCUACACAU